rnacentral:rRNA from 1 species
AUUGAACGCUGGCGGCAGGCCUAACACAUGCAAGUCGAACGAGUGGCGGACGGGUGAGUAAUGUCUGGGAAACUGCCCGACGUAGCGGGAUAACUACUGGAAACGGUAGCUACUCCUGCAUAACACUGGAUGUGCCCAGAUGGGAUUAGCUAGUAGGUGGGGUAAUGGCUCACCAAGGCGACGAUCCCCAGCUGGUCUGAGAGGAUGACCAGCCACACUGGAACUGAGACACGGUCCAGCCUCCUACGGGAGGCAGCAGUGGGGAAUAUUGCACAAUGGGCGCAAGCCUGAUGCAGCCAUGCCGCGUGAAUGAAGAAGGCCUUCGGAUUGUAAAGUACUUUCAGCGGGGAGGCGUUACUCGCAGAAGAAGCACCGGCUAACUCCGUGCCAGCAGCCGCGGUAAUAC